AUUGAACGCUGGCGGCAUGCCUUACACAUGCAAGUCGAACGGUAACAGGUCUUCGGACGCUGACGAGUGGCGAACGGGUGAGUAAUGCAUCGGAACGUGCCCAGUCGUGGGGGAUAACUGCUCGAAAGAGCAGCUAAUACCGCAUACGACCUGAGGGUGAAAGCGGGGGACCGUAAGGCCUCGCGCGAUUGGAGCGGCCGAUGUCAGAUUAGCUAGUGGGUGGGGUAAAGGCCUAACAAGGCAACGAUCUGUAGUUGGUCUGAGAGGACGACCAGCCACACUGGGACUGAGACACGGCCCAGACUCCUACGGGAGGCAGCAGUGGGGAAUUUUGGACAAUGGGCGCAAGCCUGAUCCAGCAAUGCCGCGUGCAGGAAGAAGGCCUUCGGGCUGUAAACUGCUUUUGUCAGGGAAGAGAUCUUCUGGGCUAAUACCCCGGGAGGAUGACGGUACCUGAAGAAUAAGCACCGGCUAACUACGUGCCAGCAGCCGCGGUAAUAC
rnacentral:rRNA from 1 species